rnacentral:rRNA from 1 species
UACGAAGGGGGCUAGCGUUAUUCGGAAUUACUGGGCGUAAAGCGCGCGUAGGCGGAUCAUCAAGUCGGGGGUGAAAUCCCGGGGCUCAACCCCGGAAUGGCCUUCGAGACUGGUGGUCUUGAGUUCGAGAGAGGUGAGUGGAAUUCCGAGUGUAGAGGUGAAAUUCGUAGAUAUUCGGAGGAACACCAGUGGCGAAGGCGGCUCACUGGCUCGACACUGACGCUGAGGUGCGAAAGCGUGGGGAGCAAACAGG